AGCAUGGGGGCCUAGAUGGGACAUAUUUGUGUAUUAGUGAGGAUAAGUAGGUCAGAACAGCAUUGUGUAGAGAUUUGUAAGCAAGUAUCAGGAUCUUAAAUUGAGUCCUAUAUCGUGCAGGCCCACAGGAUGAUAAGAACAGGGGGGAAGUGCUAGAUACCAGACUAGAGGGCAGCAACCCAAAAAAGGAAUCCCUCAAGACCCUUUUGAACUGGACAGAAAGAUACAAAGGGGGUAGGGGCUGCGCCCGAGGCUAAUAACAGUAAUCUAUAAUAACAAACAACCAGACCAAAUGGUCUAAAUGAAGAUACAACAAAUAGGCCUAUUUAAAAUACAACAGUAAGGAGUGAACAAUAAAACGGGAGUAUAAAAUGGUAAAUAAAAGUUGCAUACAGAGUUUAAAUAGGGAGGUGUAAAUUAAAAUUGGCUCAGCCAAUCACAGAGCAGAUAAUAACAAACAUAGUAUAAUACACUGCUCAAAAAAAUAAAGGGAACACAAAAAUAACACACCCUAGAUCUGAAUGAAACAACAACACACUACAGGUUGAUCCAACUUUGAUGUAAUGUCCUUCAAACAAGUCAAAUGAGGCUCAGUAGUGUGUGUGGCCUCCACGUGCCUGUAUGACCUCCCUACAACGCCUGUGCAUGCUCCUGAUGAGGAGGCGGAUGGUCUCCUGAGGGAUCUCCUCCCAGACCUGGACUAAAGCAUCUGCCAACUCCUGGACAGUCUGUGGUGCAACGUGACGUUUGUGUAUGGAGCGAGACAUGAUGUCCCAGAUGUGCUCAAUUGGAUUCAGGUCUGGGGAACGGGCGGGCCAGUCCACAGCAUCAAUGCCUUCGUCUUGAAGGAACUGCUGACACACUCCAGCCACAUGAGGUCUAGCAUUGUCUUGCAUUAGGAGGAACCCAGGGCCAACUGCAUGAGCAUAUGGUCUCACAAGGGGUCUGAGGAUCUCAUCUCGGAACCUAAUGGCAGUCAGGCUACCUCUGGCGAGCACAUGGAGGGCUGUGCGGCCCCCGAAAGAAAUGCCCCCCUCACCAUUACUGACCCACUGCCAAACCAGUCAUGCUGGAGGAUGUUGCAGGCAGCAGAAUGUUCUCCACAGCUUCUCCAGACUGUCACAUGUGCUCAGUGUGAACCUGCUUUCAUCUGUAAAGAGCACAGGGCGCCUGUGGCGAAUUUGCCAAUCUUGGUGUUCUCUGGCAAAUGCCAAACAUCCUGCACGGUGUUGGGCUGUAAGCACAACCCCCACCUGUGGACGUCGUGCCCUCAUACCACCC